rnacentral:rRNA from 1 species
CGUAGGGCGCAAGCGUUGUCCGGAAUUAUUGGGCGUAAAGAGCUCGUAGGCGGCUUGUCACGUCGGAUGUGAAAGCCCGGGGCUUAACCCCGGGUCUGCAUUCGAUACGGGCUAGCUAGAGUGUGGUAGGGGAGAUCGGAAUUCCUGGUGUAGCGGUGAAGUGCGCAGAUAUCAGGAGGAACACCGGUGGCGAAGGCGGAUCUCUGGGCCAUUACUGACGCUGAGGAGCGAAAGCGUGGGGAGCGAACAGGAUUAGAUACCCUGGUAGUCCACGCCGUAAACGUUGGGAACUAGGUGUUGGCGACAUUCCACGUCGUCGGUGCCGCAGCUAACGCAUUAAGUUCCCCGCCUGGGGAGUACGGCCGCAAGGCUA